rnacentral:rRNA from 1 species
UACGUAGGGGGCGAGCGUUGUCCGGAUUUAUUGGGCGUAAAGAGCUCGUAGGCGGUUUGUCGCGUCGGCCGUGAAAUCUCCACGCUUAACGUGGAGCGUGCGGUCGAUACGGGCAGACUUGAGUUCGGUAGGGGAGACUGGAAUUCCUGGUGUAGCGGUGAAAUGCGCAGAUAUCAGGAGGAACACCGGUGGCGAAGGCGGGUCUCUGGGCCGAUACUGACGCUGAGGAGCGAAAGCGUGGGGAGCGAACGGG